AUACCUUUCUCGGCCUUUUGGCUAAGAUCAAGUGUAGUAUCUGUUCUUAUCAGUUUAAUAUCUGAUACGUGGGCCAAUGGCCCACAUGAUAUUAAAUUAAUUUCUUUAGGGGGAGGGCUUGCUACAGUAGCUUGCUACUGGAGCUCUCAAGCGUCGCCCAAGCGUUGCACUAUUGCAUGGGCCUGGCGCACCCCAC
rfam:Prunus persica cultivar Lovell chromosome G1, whole genome shotgun sequence.